AUGGUUAUUUAAUGGUGU
rnacentral:snRNA from 1 species